CCAGUAGCACUGGAAAUGAGUUACCCCAGCAACGAGUAAGCUUUGGUUAUACGUAUUCCUUCCUGUAGCCUCAGCAUACUCGUUCCUGGUGUAUACUUCUUUGUCCAAGUUCUCUG
rnacentral:precursor_RNA from 12 species